CUCCAUCCUCACCCUGUGCCACCUCACCCAAAGCUCCUCUCUCACCCACCAAAACACCCUCAUUUACACUGUGCACAUCUUCCAUACUCACCCCGUGUAGGUCAGGCACAGCAGCGCAACGGCCCGCGGCCCGCGGAACCGGAAACGGCCUCACGGACGCCGCAGCCACCUCCGCGGCUGGAGACUCCCCCGCAAGCGCCGCGGCCGGAGGCUCCCCCGCCGCAGCCGCGGCCGGAGACCCCCCCGCAAGAGCCGCGGCCGGAGGCUCCCCCGCCGCAGCCGCGGCCGGAGACCCCCCCGC
ensembl:lncRNA